CGGGUUCUGCCCUUCUCGUGACAGGUAGCAUUCCGGUGGCCUUAAACAUUUCCGAGGGGGCUGGCUCUGUUCAGGUCCUGGCCUGAUUAACUGGCACCCACCUGUACAAACAGGUCCUCGGGAAUCGAACCGCACGGUCGAAACCUGGUGGUUCCCGC
rnacentral:misc_RNA from 1 species